rnacentral:rRNA from 1 species
UACAGAGGGUGCGAGCGUUGUCCGGAAUCACUGGGCGUAAAGGGCGCGUGGGUGGCGCUGCAAGUCGGUGGUGAAAGCUCGUCGCUUAACGACGAGUCGGCCAUCGAAACUGCAGGGCUGGAGCACUGUAGGGGCUAAUGGAAUUCCGGGUGUAGCGGUGGAAUGCGUAGAGAUCCGGAAGAACACCAGUGGCGAAGGCGGUUAGCUGGGCAGUUGCUGACACUGAGGCGCGACAGCGUGGGGAGCAAACAGG